GCAACCAGAUUAUUGUGAAAGGAGAAACACUGUUUUCGAGGGCUGCUGAUAAUGCCUGUUAGCCAGAAGAAACAGCCUGAAUCAUUCAAAGGUUUUCCACCUGGCAAAGAAAUGUGGUAAAAAUCUUGCCCAGAUCUGCAUGUGCUAAGCAUCCAGAAUCAAGUGUAAUUACUAUAUCAAAAAUCCACAGAAUGUGAAAGUAUAAAGGAAAACUAUCAGGAAACCAGCAGUUGUGAUUUUCUUCAGCAAUUCUUAAUUUGCUCAGCUAAAAACUUUGGAGUUACACAUAUGGACAGCCCACCCCAAGGAAAGAAUCAGAGGAGAAGGUACACAAGACCCCAGAAACACAUGAAGCGCCUUAAUAUGCAUGCUGCAUCUCUCUAAAAUGGUGGAACCUGUUUACCUGCUCUGGAGAAUGGCUGCCUGUGGCAGACAUAGGAGUUGUUCUUACGCUGUGCUUCCUAUGUUCCACAGUAAUUGAAUUGUAGCUGCAAUGCAGUUACCAACCAGGAAUACAAUUUCUCAGCCCCACAUCUUGCAUCUACAGCUAAGUGUGGACAUAUGACCAGUUUUCAUCAAUUAAGUGUGAAUAGAAACAAAGUGUACCACCUUAAAGUGGAGACUUUGAAGAAGCAGGACAGCCAUCCCUUGUUCUCUUUCCGUUUGCGCUGGUGGGAUACAGAUGACAAUUAGGCCAUGGGUUUUGAGGUAGCCACAAUAUGCAAAAUGCCUCAGACCUGAGUCACAAUGUGGAAA